UACGGAAGGCAGCGAGGGGGAAUAUUGCACAAUGGGCGCAAGCCUGAUGCAGCCAUGCCGCGUGUAUGAAAAAGGCCUUCGGGUUGUAAAGUACUUUCAGUCGUGAGGAAGGUGUUAAGGUUAAUAACCUUAGCAAUUGACGUUAGCGACAGAAGAAGCACCGGCUAACUCCGUGCCAGCAGCCGCGGUAAUACGGAGGGUGCGAGCGUUAAUCGGAAUUACUGGGCGUAAAGGGCACGCAGGCGGUUAAUUAAGUUGGAUGUGAAAUCCCCGGGCUUAACCUGGGAAUGGCAUUCAAGACUGGUUAGCUAGAGUCUUGUAGAGGGGGUAGAAUUCCAUGUGUAGCGGUGAAAUGCGUAGAGAUGUGGAGGAAUACCGGUGGCGAAGGCGGCCCCUGGACAAAGACUGACGCUCAUGUGCGAAAGCUGGGGAGGCAAACAGGGAUUAGAUACCCGU
rnacentral:rRNA from 1 species